UUAUGAUAGAGGCGCAGAUGCUAAGAGUAUCGUGUUUCCCAGGGCUUCGCAGGCUAUGGAGCGCGUGAAAGGGGUAUCUGCCGAAAGAUGGGCGAGGCGGAACCCCACCUUGGUAGCCCGGAUAAUAUCCGUGUUACUGUCGCUAAUGCGGAGAGCUAUCUU
rnacentral:ncRNA from 1 species